rnacentral:lncRNA from 1 species
GACGGAGGGGGAGCAAAAUUAAUACACAGAUAUACACAGAGAGACCCAUACAGUCCUUCUGCUGCACUUGCUGCUCGCCCUUCAGUCCCGCGAGGGGGCGGCUCCGGCCGGCGCCCAGACCAAGGGGGUUCCUGGCUGGCUGAGUGUCACUCAGCAUCAAGCCAACUACUGAUGGUUUUAACUGGUGCUUAUGUCCUGCUGGGUGACCUGAUGCUGACUGACAGCCCAGGAUGCUUGUGGUGGAGCUUUCAAGACCCUUGAAGGAUACAGAGCAGUUUCCUGAGAAAGAGAGCCUGAACUAGUUUUGAGGGAAGACAAAGAUUCAUCCAAGAAGCGGCAAUAAGGAGGAAUUGCAUUCCAGAAUGGGAAGAGAAUUAUUCAAAUGAAUAGAGGUAGGAAAAUGGCUAGAUUACUUAGUAGAAAGUAAGUUUUUAUUUUAAUU